CCUGUGCUCAUAGCUACUGGUUCUUCAGGAGAACAGGAAAGAGCAUGGUCUCAAAGGCCAAGCAUAUCAGAGGCCAUAUCUGCCUGGGAUCUACCCAGAAAAGUGACUGAACUGCUCUGGGCUUCAGUUUCCACAACUGCCAAUCAUGGAUAACAAUACCCUAUGUUCUGUGACAUCACACUGGUAUCUUCAAACCAGCCAGGGCAGGAAUAUUUAUACCAUAGGAAUUGACGAACACCGUACAUAGGGACUUUCUUCUCUAGAAAUCCCGUUGUUAAUCACUUACCAGCACAUCCCUGGAUAAACAGGAGUCAGCUAAGUGGAAGGGGAGAAGGAGGACAAGAAAAGAGAAGUCCGGCAGUGUGAACAGCAUGUGUGAAGGCCCAGAGCAGGGAUGUUGAUCAGACCUGGGCACUCUGCAGUGAUGAUCAGCAGCUCAAGAGCAAGGGUGGCUCCUGACCGUGAGGGGUCAGCACCAGGCCCACAAGCCUGUCUGUUGCACCAGUGCCCAGGAGGGGCUGUCGACUGCAGAACUGUUUUCUCUGGCUCGACCUCACCCAGAACCAGCGGCAGAAAGGCCAGUUAUGCAACCAUCCUCACCACAGCCUGCCAGCCUCAGAGGCUGGGCCUGGCCGCCGGGCCUGGCCGCCAGGCCUGGUAAGGAGACUGCUGUGGCCUGCACAGCACAAGGCCAUCCUGGGCCCCAACUGCCACUUUCCAUGCAGGUGCAAGACGCUCUGCUGACAAAUACCUGGGGAAAGCAGGAGCUGUGGGAGGGAGGUAAAAAUAGCACAGUUGGCAACAGAGAAGGCUUUUCUAAGUCCUCAGGGUCCUAUUAGUCCUUGUCCAUGGGAUACACAUGAGCUGGCACUGAGCAUUCUCUCUUCUCCAAGGCUCAUGCUUAGAACAGGCACAGAGGCCUGGGAGGCCUCUUGUAUCAUGUCAGGAGCUGCACAGUGAUCAGAAGUUAGGGAGAGCGCCUGUUGCAGAGGCUGGAUUUGGAGGAUAUGCUGGGGCUGCCGUCAUAACCCCACAUCCCCAGUGGGUUCUCUCUGGCCACUCCCUCUACGGCCAGUUCUGUUUUCUCCCCAUUUUUGGAAACCCAAAUUCUUGAUGUUUCUGUUAUUCACAUUGCCAUUAAGAAUUAUGGGCUUUGCACUGUGUUUUUAAUUUGUUGUGUAAGGGUUUUACACAAACACAGCUAGAUGCCUAGAAAAGACAAUGUAUAUGGGCAUGCAGGCUGUGCACUGCACAACUCCAGAGGGCUUCAUUCAUGACCAGGAUGUGAGUGGCGCCCUGGAAUCAUGCAAUGUGGUUACCGGUAUUGCCAGAGAGGAAAUGAUGUCUUACAUGACCCCAUAUCCCCGGGAAAAGGCC
rnacentral:lncRNA from 1 species